rnacentral:tRNA from 1 species
UCCGCGAUAGCUCAACGGUAGAGCAGGCGGCUGUUAACCGCAAGGUUCCAGGUUCGAAUCCUGGUCGCGGAG